rnacentral:rRNA from 1 species
AACGAACGCUGGCGGCAGGCCUAACACAUGCAAGUCGAGCGCCCCGCCAGGGGAACGGCAGACGGGUGAGUAGCGCGUGGGGACGUACCUUUUGGUUCGUAACAACUCCGGGAAACUGGAGCUAAUACCGGAUAAGACCUAACGGGGAAAGACUUAUCGCCGAAAGAUCGGCCCGCGACGGAUUCGCUGGUUGGUGAGGUAACGGGGCACCAAGGCGACGAGCAAUAGCUGGUAUGAGAGGCUGAGCAGCCACACUGGGACUGGGACACGGGGGAGAAUCCUGCGGGAUGCAGCAGUGGGGAAUAUUGGACAACGGGGGCAGGGCUGAUGCAGCCAGGGCGGGUGAGUGAUGAAGUCCUUAGGGUUGUAAAGCUCGUUUGUCCGGGAAGAUAAUGACGGUACCGGAAGAAUAAGCCCCGGCUAACUUCGUG